rnacentral:rRNA from 1 species
AAGAAAGUAAUAAAGGGCGUAUGGGGGAUGCCUAGGCUCUUGGAGGCGAAGAAAGACGUGGUAAGCUGCGAUAAGCCUCGGGGAUUUGCAAACGAGAAUUGAUCCGAGGAUUUCUGAAUGGGACAACCCGGCAGGCAGAAGGCCUGUCACACGAAAGUGGGCCAACCCUCUGAACUGAAACAUCUUAGUAGGAGGAGGAAAAGAAAGAAACAUCGAUUUCCUAAGUAGCGGCGAGCGAACGGGAAACAGCCUAAACCACAAUUGUUACGGCAACUGUGGGGUUGUAGGACUGCAAUAUUCAAAUGACUGUGAACUGGAAUGUUCUGGAAAGUUCAUCCAUAGAGAGUGAAAGACUCGUACAGGCAAGCACGUCAGGCGAUAGCAGUAUCCUGAGUAGGGCGGGACACGAGGAAUCCUGUCUGAAUCCGCCGGGACCACCCGGUAAGGCUAAAUACUCCCAAGAGACCGAUAGUGAACCAGUACCGUGAGGGAAAGGUGAAAAGAACCCCGAACAGGGGAGUGAAAUAGAACCUGAAACCAUACGCUUACAACCUGUCGGAGCGGCUUCGUGCCGUGACGGCGUGCCUAUUGAAUAAUGAGCCUACGAGUUACUAAUCACUGGCAAGGUUAAGUGCACGGAUGCACGGAGCCGAAGCGAAAGCGAGUCUGAAUAGGGCGUUUAGUCAGUGGUUGUAGACGCGAAACCUUGCGAUCUACCCUUGAGCAGGUUGAAGGUUGGGUAAAACCAACUGGAGGACCGAACGAAUAAGCGUUGAAAAGCUUCUCGAUGACUUGAGGGUAGGGGUGAAAGGCUAAUCAAGCUGGGAAAUAGCUCGUACUCCCCGAAAUGCCUUUAGGGGCAGCGUUGUAAUUAAGAGUCUACUGGAGGUAGAGCUACUGAUUGGAUGCGGGGGCUUCACCGCCUACCAAAUCCUGACAAACUCCGAAUGCCAGUAGUAUGAUUUACAGCAGUGAGCGACCGGGUGCUAAUGUCCGGUUACGAGAGUGGAACAACACAGACCAGCAACUAAGGUCCCCAAGAGUAUACUAAGUUGAUCUAACGAUGUUUUGCUGCAGAGACAGCUAGGAUGUUAGCUUGGAAGCAGCUAUUCAUUCAAAGAGUGCGUAACAGCUCACUAGUCGAGCGGCAAAGCGUGGAUAAUAAACGGGCAUCAAGUAUACCACCGAAGUUCUGGGCACGAAAGUGCGGUAGGGGAGCAUUCCAUUCCGCGUUGAAGCCGAACCGUGAGGUUUGGUGGAGUGUAUGGAAAAGCAAAUGUAGGCAUGAGUAACGAUAAUGCGGGAGAGUAACCCGCACACCGCAAGACCAAGGUUUCCUGAUCAACGCUAAUCGGAUCAGGGUUAGUCGGGUCCUAAGGGUAAGCCGAACGGUGAUCUCGAUGGAUAAUCGGUUAAUAUUCCGAUACUGACAUAUACCUCGAUGGAGAGACGAAGGAACGUAAGUGCCGCCACCUGACGGAAUAGGUGGUUAAAGGGCUUAGGUAUAGGGGCAGAUUAAGAGUUAGUCCUUGCUGAAACCUGACAGUACAGAGAGCCUACGGGCAAUUUGAUAGUGCACCCAAGUCGACUUCCGAGAAAAUCUUCUAAGUUAUAGUAUAUGUCACCCGUACCGUAAACCGACACAGGUGGUCGAGGAGAGUAUCCUAAGGUGCUCGAGUGAAUCACGGUUAAGGAACUAGGCAAAUUAACCCCGUAACUUCGGGAAAAGGGGUCCCAUCGCGAGGUGGGCGCAGCGAAGAGGUCCAGGCGACUGUUUAUCAAAAACACAGGGCUCUGCAAAUUCGAAAGAAGACGUAUAGGGCCUGACACCUGCCCGGUGCUGGAAGGUUAAGAGGGGAUGUCAUCGCAAGAGAAGCAUUGAAUCGAAGCCCCAGUAAACGGCGGCCGUAACUAUAACGGUCCUAAGGUAGCGAAAUUCCUUGUCGGGUAAGUUCCGAC